rnacentral:rRNA from 1 species
AGAACGAACGUUGGCGGCGUGCUUAACACAUGCAAGUCGAACGAGAACGGUUUCUUCGGAAGCCUAGUAAAGUGGCGCACGGGUGAGUAACGCGUAAGUAAUCUACCCUUGCAUUUGGGAUAACUACGGGAAGCUGUAGCUAAUACCAGAUACGUUCAUAGAGUUACGACUCUAUGAAGAAAGAUGACCUCUUCUUGAAAGUUAUCGUGCAGGGAGGAGCUUGCGUACCAUUAGCUAGUUGGUAGGGUAAUGGCCUACCAAGGCAACGAUGGUUAGCGGGUCUGAGAGGAUGAUCCGCCACACUGGAACUGGAACACGGACCAGACUCCUACGGGAGGCAGCAGUGAGGAAUAUUGCGCAAUGGGGGAAACCCUGACGCAGCGACGCCGCGUGGAUGAUGAAGGCCUUCGGGUCGUAAAAUCCUGUCAGAUGGGAAGAAAUGUAUGUGGGAAUAAUACCCCAUGUGCUUGACGGUACCAUCAAAGGAAGCACCGGCUAACUCCGUGCCAGCAGCCGCGGUAAUACGGAGGGUGCAAACGUUGUUCGGAAUUACUGGGCGUAAAGCGCGCGUAGGCGGCUUGUUAAGUCAGAUGUGAAAGUCCACAGCUCAACUGUGGAAGUGCAUUUGAAACUGGCAGGCUUGAGUACUGGAG